rnacentral:lncRNA from 1 species
ACUAGUGCUCCGAUCUCCCAGAACGAAAUCCUCCUUGGGUGUUCCGGGUUCGUCCAUGUGUAGCUAGGAAAGAUCCAAUACUCAUCCUUCAUGAAAUUGGAAGAAAAAGGAAUAUGAAGGAAGUUAGCUAAUUACCGUAGAUCAUCAAACAAUAUCUUUAAGAGUUCCAUACAACGACAUUCGGAUUUCUGAUGAACAAAUCAUUCAAGUUAGCUCCUUAACAAAUAUUAAUUCAAAAAGAUAAAUCUUCCAUAACCCAUAAUCAAGUGAUACCAGUCUGAACUAUAGUUUCCAAGGAAUUGAUAACUAAACUAUAAAGCUCAAAUCUUUUAGCUAAUUCUCAACCACAAACCCUAAACCCAAUCAAACAGAACCAACCCAUAAGAAAUAUGAUACGAUUCAGUAGCAAUAAUUAGAGCUCCAGAGACACAAUUUUGGGAGCAAAUGGGUUAAAACAAAGAUGGAACUCCCUCAAGUUUGCAGUAACUAGGAUCCACCCCCACCAUGGCUCCAAACGAAUCUCAAUUCAUAUCAUCAUCCCAUUAGAUCAAAAGAAAACAUCCAAAAUUACCUUGAACGGUGGCGGGUUGCAUUUAAGUGGCGGAAAAUGAGGAUAAUGGAAAUGGAAUGUCUAGCUAGCCCGAUAAAGAAUCAAACCUAUGUCUAGGUUUGCAGCUGCUGAUCUCCAUAUAAACCUACUAUCAAGCUCCCCAUCUAACUCGGUGUUCUAGCAGUGAUUUUGGGGAGGAUAUGUGAGCCGCAGAAGAAG